rnacentral:lncRNA from 11 species
GUCCCCUCCUUUCUUCCCCCUGGUCAUCAUGUAGUGUAUCCUUAUCUAGCAAGGUGUGGCUAAUGCCUGAGUUUUAUAGCCCCAACGUUCUCAACAGCAAAUACGAAAACAACCUUUGGCCCUUUCCCAUUUCACGGGUUCUGCUGCUAAUUGUUCACAGGCAGAAGUACCAGCUGGGGCAGUUGGGUGUGGGGUUGGAAAGAGUGCUAAAGCGGGGAACAGAAGAACCAAUUCGAGAAAACAACUAAUUGAUCAAGCAGUGUGCAUAUGACAAACCCACUUGCCUUUGCUGAAAUCUUUGGCCAUGGAGCACAUGCAAAGAGCAGCCUUUCCCUAGGCAACAAGGCAUAAUGGGGCAGCAAAAGCUGGAUCAAGUUUUGAGGGCAUUGUUCCUCUUCACUCAGCUGCUGUGGCAUAGCGGUGAGGGCAAAUGUCUUGAUAAUGACCCUUUGAUCAAUGUAAUGAUACUGAGUGACUCUGAUGUUCCAGUGAGCUCAAAAAACAUUAAACCAGCUGUUGAAAUGGGCGUGGAGCUGGUGAUGUCCAUUCUGAAAGAGAACAAUAUGAACAUGAAUGUCAAUGCUACACUUUAUGGAAUCAAUAACACAUCGCUCUAUGUCUCAGACGGCUGCCGCACUAGCACUUGUGAAGGUGUG